rnacentral:lncRNA from 1 species
CCUGGCAUCGUGACAUCUGUCAUAGUUUUGGCUGAUUUGCGUUGCAUCGUUUGUUUCAUCAUGGCGGCAACUCAGAAGGUUUGGCUGGCGUUGAGACAUGUUCUGUCACAGUUUUGGCUGAUUUGUGUCGCAUUGUUUGUUUCAUCACGGCAUCGGCAGAUUUCUAUAUUGUAGGUGGUCUGUUUGUCGGGCAGAUUUUGCUUCCUGGAUCUCUCGCAAAAAGCAGCCCUAUAUCUAUGGAGCGAACUUCUGGAUGUACUUUGUCCAUCAUGAUGCUCUCCAGCACAGUCCGGUCCUACCCUGAUUGCAUCCAUUGCACUUUGGUGUGGUGUUUGCCAUGCUCUCGGAUGCCGUCCAAUCACGCCCUUUUUGCAUCCAUCACACUUUGUCAUGGUGUUUAGUCUCACGUGGAGCAUGAUAUGGAUCGUGCCAGAUCUCACUUGUGUUGUAGUACAUGGAAAAAAAGUUUUGCCUUCUUGGGCGUUGUGACGCCUCGAGACCGUUGCGCCAGGUGUCUCCCAGUUGUUCGUUGUUGUUGCCUUGUCUUUUGCUUGCGUGUCGCAUCUUGUCAUGUCAUCAUCCGCAUUGCAUCAUCAUGUUUUUAAAACUUGAAUUCGUUCGGGUUCCCAGUUUCGUCCGUUGUCCGUUCUGAG